UACGAAGGGUGCAAACGUUGCUCGGAAUUAUUGGGCGUAAAGCGCACGUAGGCGGCUUGGCAAGUCGGAUGUGAAAUCCCUCGGCUUAACCAAGGAAGUGCAUCCGAAACUGCAGUGCUUGAGUACUUAAGAGGAUCGCGGAAUUCCCGGUGUAGAGGUGAAAUUCGUAGAUAUCGGGAGGAACACCAGUGGCGAAGGCGGCGAUCUGGGAAGAUACUGACGCUGAGGUGCGAAAGCGUGGGGAGCAAACAGG
rnacentral:rRNA from 1 species